rnacentral:rRNA from 1 species
GACGAACGCUGGCGGCGUGCCUAAUACAUGCAAGUUGAGCGAUGAAGAUUGGUGCUUGCACCAAUUUGAAGAGCAGCGAACGGGUGAGUAACGCGUGGGGAAUCUGCCUUUGAGCGGGGGACAACAUUUGGAAACGAAUGCUAAUACCGCAUAACAACUUUAAACAUAAGUUUUAAGUUUGAAAGAUGCAAUUGCAUCACUCAAAGAUGAUCCCGCGUUGUAUUAGCUAGUUGGUGAGGUAAAGGCUCACCAAGGCGAUGAUACAUAGCCGACCUGAGAGGGUGAUCGGCAUCAAUGGGAAUGAGAGACGGCCCAAAAUCCUACGGGAGGCCGCAGUAGGGAAUCUUCGGCAAUGGACGAAAGUCUGACCGAGAAACGCCGCGUGAGUGAAGAAGGUUUUCGGAUCGUAAAACUCUGUUGGUAGAGAAGAACGUUGGUGAGAGUGGAAAGAUCAUCAAGUGACGGUAACUACACAGAAAGGGACGGCUAACUACGUG